rnacentral:rRNA from 1 species
GAUGAACGCUGGCGGCGUGCCUAAUACAUGCAAGUCGAGCGAACAGACGAGGAGCUUGCUCCUCUGACGUUAGCGGCGGACGGGUGAGUAACACGUGGAUAACCUACCUAUAAGACUGGGAUAACUUCGGGAAACCGGAGCUAAUACCGGAUAAUAUAUUGAACCGCAUGGUUCAAUAGUGAAAGACGGUUUUGCUGCCACUUAUAGAUGGAUCCGCGCCGCAUUAGCUAGUUGGUAAGGUAACGGCUUACCAAGGCAACGAUGCGUAGCCGACCUGAGAGGGUGAUCGGCCACACUGGAACUGAGACACGGUCCAGACUCCUACGGGAGGCAGCAGUAGGGAAUCUUCCGCAAUGGGCGAAAGCCUGACGGAGCAACGCCGCGUGAGUGAUGAAGGUCUUCGGGUCGUAAAACUCUGUUAUUAGGGAAGAACAAAUGUGUAAGUAACUGUGCACAUCUUGACGGUACCUAAUCAGAAAGCCACGGCUAACUACGUG